UGAAGUGCAAAGGAAUCUAGAACAUUCAAAAGGAAAAGUAGCACAGUUAGAAGAAAAACUGUCUGCUGCCGAGAGAGAGAAAGUUGUAGAAAAGUCUGACCCUGAAAACCUCCUAGAAUCCAUCACAGAGCUCAGUAGUGUUACAGAAACUGCUGAGAAAUACAAAGCCAAUGUUGCUCAGCUGGAGGAGACACUGAUUAAGAAAGACCAAGAUAUUGAGAUCCU